rnacentral:rRNA from 1 species
UACGUAGGGUGCGAGCGUUAAUCGGAAUUACUGGGCGUAAAGCGUGCGCAGGCGGCGCGUUAAGACAGGUGUGAAAGCCCCGAGCUUAACUUGGGAAUUGCGCUUGUGACUGGCGUGCUGGAGUGUGGCAGAGGGAGGUGGAAUUCCACGUGUAGCAGUGAAAUGCGUAGAGAUGUGGAGGAACACCGAUGGCAAGGACGACCGCUCCUGGGCCAGCACUGACGCUCAUGCACGAAAGCGUGGGGAGCAAACAGG